GAUGAACGCUGGCGGCGUGCCUAAUACAUGCAAGUCGAGCGAACGGACGAGAAGCUUGCUUUUCUGAUGUUAGCGGCGGACGGGUGAGUAACACGUGGAUAACCUACCUAUAAGACUGGGAUAACUUCGGGAAACCGGAGCUAAUACCGGAUAAUAUUUUGAACCGCAUGGUUCAAAAGUGAAAGACGGUCUUGCUGUCACUUAUAGAUGGAUCCGCGCUGCAUUAGCUAGUUGGUAAGGUAACGGCUUACCAAGGCAACGGUGCAUAGCCGACCUGAGAGGGUGAUCGGCCACACUGGAACUGAGACACGGUCCAGGCUCCUACGGGAGGCAGCAGUAGGGAAUCUUCCGCAAUGGGCGAAAGCCUGACGGAGCAACGCCGCGUGAGUGAUGAAGGUCUUCGGAUCGUAAAACUCUGUUAUUAGGGAAGAACAUAUGUGUAAGUAACUGUGCACAUCUUGACGGUACCUAAUCAGAAAGCCACGGCUAACUACGUGCCAGCAGCCGCGGUAAUACGUAGGUGGCAAGCGUUAUCCGGAAUUAUUGGGGCGUAAAGCGCGCGUAGGCGGUUUUUUAAGUCUGAUGUGAAAGCCCACGGCUCAACCGUGGAGGGUCAUUGGAAACUGGAAAACUUGAGUGCAGAAGAGGAAAGUGGAAUUCCAUGUGUAGCGGUGAAAUGCGCAGAGAUGUGGAGGAACACCAGUGGCGAAGGCGACUUUCUGGUCUGUAACUGACGCUGAUGUGCGAAAGCGUGGGGAUCAAACAGGAUUAGAUACCCUGGUAGUCCACGCCGUAAACGAUGAGUGCUAAGUGUUAGGGGGUUUCCGCCCCUUAGUGCUGCAGCUAACGCAUUAAGCACUCCGCCUGGGGAGUACGACCGCAAGGUUGAAACUCAAAGGAAUUGACGGGGGCCCGCACAAGCGGUGGAGCAUGUGGUUUAAUUCGAAGCAACGCGAAGAACCUUACCAAAUCUUGACAUCCUUUGACAACUCUAGAGAUAGAGCCUUCCCCUUCGGGGGACAAAGUGACAGGUGGUGCAUGGUUGUCGUCAGCUCGUGUCGUGAGAUGUUGGGUUAAGUCCCGCAACGAGCGCAACCCUUAAGCUUAGUUGCCAUCAUUAAGUUGGGCACUCUAAGUUGACUGCCGGUGACAAACCGGAGGAAGGUGGGGAUGACGUCAAAUCAUCAUGCCCCUUAUGAUUUGGGCUACACACGUGCUACAAUGGACAAUACAAAGGGCAGCGAAACCGCGAGGUCAAGCAAAUCCCAUAAAGUUGUUCUCAGUUCGGAUUGUAGUCUGCAACUCGACUACAUGAAGCUGGAAUCGCUAGUAAUCGUAGAUCAGCAUGCUACGGUGAAUACGUUCCCGGGUCU
rnacentral:rRNA from 1 species